CCGCCGGAACGGCUGUCGCGCGCCGAGUGUGCAGCCGGCGCCCACCGCCGCCAGACGCGCGCUCCUACGCCGCUCGCCAAGUCUAUCGUCCGAGAUCGAAUGGAUUUGCCGUGUACGGUAGUGAUUUAAUGUUUUUCGUUUUGGUUUCGAUAAAAAAAGUUACAUUUAUGUAACACGUAGUGCCCAAAUGACCAAACGGUUAAAACGUAACGGCCGUCCAUUUGUAUGGGCACGAUCCCUUAGAGGGCGACGCCCCCUCCCAUCGUUUGAGAAGCACUGACGGACGCGAUAACGUCAUGCGCGUCGUCCCGGCUGAAACAUAUUGUUCCGGGUCCGCGUGGUAAAACGCGUUUAUCGCCCAAACAGCCCCGAAAAAAUAUCGUUCUGCCGUCGCUACGAUCGAUUUCGUUCGCUGUACGUUAUUUUUUUUUCACAGCAUCACUAUUCGCGUUGUCGCACCGUAAAAUGUCCGUGUUUCGGUUUUGUCGGUUUAUCGCGGGGCUGCUUUGCAAACACGUUCAACGACGACACGAUUCUGUUCCGUUGCGCAAUCGAGUGCGCAGUUCUACAGGGACCGUCUACAAAGUGUUGAAAAAUUGUUCUUAAGAACGUACCUUACGGGUAUAGUAUUUCGAUGAUGGCCACCGAUUUGUUGUUGUGCCCAAAAGGAGGGAAUCGCUCGUCUCUGUCUGUUUGUAAAACAAAAACGUUGGUAGAGUCUUCACAAUAUGAGAACAACAUGAACAAUUCUUUCUGAUGUCUUCGACCGUGUCGCCGGAGCACGCUGUGCUGCCCACCCUGGCUCCAUGUGCAGUUCCCAGGUGGUGUUACGCACGAACCAAGGAUAAAAUCAUCAGAUUUAAAUGGAUCGGAGACGACAGUUACGCGCGGACGUCAGGCGCUUGGUCCGCUGAUCGUUACCACUUUGCGGAUCUUUUAUCAAUUGCCUUUGCAAACUGGCCGUUCAUUCAGUACGGUUUUUUAUCCUCGUACAAUCUCGCGUGACACCGAACCUGACACACUUCAAAUGCACCCGACGAUGACAUACGUUACGUUUUUACAUUGUUUUUUUUAUCAUUGAACGCUUGUUUAAACGGCUAUAAUAUCUAGAUUGUAAUUUCCCAUAAACGAUAAUUCAACCAAGAAUAACAUGAUGUUAAAACAUAUGACUAACUUUAAGUUUAGAGUGUAGAUCGAUGAUGGUCGCGCGGGCGCCGCUGUAAAGAUAAAAAAAAAAAUUACAAAAAGAAAAUAAAUGUAAAGGCCCGUCGACCAUUCCUUAGUGUUUAAAUAACAAUAUAUUUCGAAGACUGAUUUUGUGUUACCCUUGUAUAAGUUUAGUAUUAAAUCGAUAAUUGUAAUAAUUGAUGUCGUCUGAGAUAAUGUUCAACGUAGUCGACAGUGUGGUGUAAUUUAAUAGUUUUUAUUUAUAAUAUGCACUACUAAUAUUCUAUUGUCAAGGUUAUUAGCACGAUAGAUAUAAUUAUAAUUGUAAGAUAAGUAACAUUGGUGCUGAUUUUAUUCAUCAUCGUACAUAGCAUACGAAAAGCAAUAAGAUCACAAUGUCUUCCAUUAAAUAUUAAAAUGUCUAAAUUAAUUAAUAUUAGAUAAAUACUAAAUUAAGCGUGUUGUCACGUGAAUAUGCUAAUCCAUCAAUUACGCGUAUUCGUACAACACGUCAUAGUUUAAUUUAAUAUUAAUUGUUUAACAUAUAAGAUUAAAAUAAUUAACUCUUAAGUUAAUGUGUGUAACAGUUUACAAAUAACAAUAGUUUUCGUUUUGUAAAAAAAAAAAAAAAAAAAAAAAAUGAUAA